rnacentral:rRNA from 1 species
GACGAACGCUGGCGGCGUGCUUAACACAUGCAAGUCGAACGGAAAGGCCCUGCUUUUGUGGGGUGCUCGAGUGGCGAACGGGUGAGUAACACGUGAGUAACCUGCCCUUGACUUUGGGAUAACUUCAGGAAACUGGGGCUAAUACCGGAUAGGAGCUCCUGCUGCAUGGUGGGGGUUGGAAAGUUUCGGCGGUUGGGGAUGGACUCGCGGCUUAUCAGCUUGUUGGUGGGGUAGUGGCUUACCAAGGCUUUGACGGGUAGCCGGCCUGAGAGGGUGACCGGCCACAUUGGGACUGAGAUACGGCCCAGACUCCUACGGGAGGCAGCAGUGGGGAAUAUUGCACAAUGGGCGGAAGCCUGAUGCAGCAACGCCGCGUGCGGGAUGACGGCCUUCGGGUUGUAAACCGCUUUCGCCUGUGACGAAGCGUGAGUGACGGUAAUGGGUAAAGAAGAACCGGCUAACUACGUG